UGGGGAAUAUUGGACAAUGGGCGAAAGCCUGAUCCAGCAAUUCCGCGUGUGUGAAGAAGGCCUUAGGGUUGUAAAGCACUUUAAUCCGGGAAGAAAAAGCCAAACCUAAUACGUUUGGCCUUGACGGUACUGGAGGAAUAAGCACCGGCUAACUCUGUGCCAGCAGCCGCGGUAAUACAGAGGGUGCAAGCGUUAAUCGGAUUUACUGGGCGUAAAGCGUGCGUAGGUGGCCACGUAAGUCGGUUGUGAAAUCCCUGGGCUCAACCCGGGAAUUGCUUCCGAUACUGCGAGGCUCGAGUUCGGUAGAGGGUGGCAGAACUCCCGGUGUAGCGGUGAAAUGCGUAGAUAUCGGGAAGAAUACCGAUGGCGAAGGCAACCACCUGGGCCUGAACUGACACUGAGGCACGAAAGCGUGGGUAGCAAACAGG
rnacentral:rRNA from 1 species